UCGUUGGAUUUUCGGUGCACUUGGCUAUUUAUAGUUGUUCCUAAGCUUUUCUCGGUCUGUUUCCGGCUUAGAUGUACCACUUAGUCACCAGAGAGUGUCUCAGGCAAUCUCUCCAGCCACUUCCUGAAGCUCCAACAAAGAAAGAUGAGAGACAAGCGGUGCCAGGACCGAGAGCUGAUCUAAGAGGUGCUGAACUGUUUUCAUUUGUUAUAAGGGAAGGCUCACUGGAAUUACAUAUGUUGAAGGAGUUGGAGAACCUCUAAGUCCAAGAGAUGGCAGCCAUGGAGAAAACAAACCAUGUGACCCAGGAGGGAGCAUUCUUACACUCCGGCCUUCAGGAGGAGUGCCAGAAUUUCCAGGUCAAGGAUUGAACUCAUGACCCUGGAGGUAGAGAAGCAGCAAGUGACUAAAUUGUGAUGGAGAGCAAAAUCUGGAAAACUUUGCUCUCACUUAUUGCCUGGAGUCAUUUCCACAAUGAAGGUUAUGUGGAAAGGGAUUUGUUUCUCUAGCAACCCCAAACCUGUGUGCCUUCUGUAGAGAAUACAAACAUUUAGGGUAGGAUUACAAGGCUGGAGGCCUAUAUAGAUUCAUGUCUAGGUAAUUGAUGUGAGAUUUACCAGAAUGUCAGGCUUUGACAGAAUUAUAUCAACUGUUUAUGGGUUAAGGGUUACUCUGAGUCCUUUAUAAUGCUUUGCAUUUGCUGUGGGAUUGAAUAAAGGCAGUCCUUUGGCUAAUAUGUAUUAUUACAUUGAAUGCUUGCAGGAGAUGUGUGUAUGCUAUUUUACCCACAUACAUGUAA